rnacentral:lncRNA from 1 species
CAAAUAAUGAAAUAUGUUAUUUGUAAAUUGCCAGGCACCACCCACCCCUAUGGAGGUGUACCUCCCCCUCGAAUUGACAAUCAUAAAUAAAGUGUUAUACAACGCUGAUUCGCAAGAAAAAUCAAGUAUCUUUACAUUGCUCUGGUCUAUGGCUCAAAUCGAAUAGUUUCUUUCUUCAUCUUCCAGUGCUGGAUGGAAACAGAGGUCUUUGUGGAGUGGGCAUGAAGGAGCGGCCGCCACUGCUGCUGCCCUCCUCUGAAUAGGCCUCGAGAUCCACCCCCGCCCCGCCCAGCUUCGCCGCUCUCCUUCUCGCCUGCGACGCCUCCUGCCGCUGCGCGACGUACUUGCGCGUCCGGCACACAUAGACCGCAAGAACCACUAAGGCAAUCGCGAGGAACAGUCCCACCACGAGCCCAGCGAUCGCCUCGUGCGAGAGCGUGAUCGUUUCCUUGCUGGAUUUGGAUUGCUCCAGUAGCCACCGUCGUCCAAUUGACCCAAUCGCUGGCUGGAUCAUCCGCUGGAUCGAUCCAGGAGCUUCAUACCCGUAUUGGGUGACCUCAUAGGAUGAAUCUACACCGCUGCUACAACCGCCGCCUGGGAUCCAGAUCGCAAGCAGCAGGAAUAGAGAAAGAAGAAGAAGCAAGCCGCUCCUCUGAGUUGGCGCUACCUCUCCGCCAAAUAGCACCAUUUUCGUGAUCCUGCGUGUAUAGGGAUGUGUUCGUUGCCUAUUUCUCGAGCUCUCAAGUAGAAUGGAAGUUUGGAUAUCAUUUAUAUAGGAAAAAGACCCUCUUGACCUACAAUACAUAACGCGACUAGUUCAAAGUCUUCUUGUGAAUAGCGCGUCAUACGUGGCUUCGCCUAGACCUUGAAGUUGGCAGAACUUUUCUUAUGUGAAUUUCUUCUUCCUAAACCCUAAACAAUCAAAGUCAUUUCAUGGCAAGAUCGCUUGUGAUCUGCAAAGAAAGAAGGAAUCUUUAUAGAUCAGUCUUCCUUGCCUCAAAAAUCCACAUUGCUUGCCGUGAGCUGAGAUGCAUUUCGAGCAGCAGCUUAAAAUUUUUUAAGCCUGGGCGCCAUUUUCAUUAUAGUUUGGAGGGCAAAGCGUGGAGGUGGAUGAUUACACAGAGGAGCAGGAUAUAAUCUCCAGCAUUCUCCACCGUGCCAAGUACAAGGCUCCCAGCUGCCUCAAGGAACUCACUGUUGUGCUCGAGUAUAGCAAGGAUGGUGAUGACCAGAUAGUCACUGCUGUUGGCUCCCUCACAAAGCUCUCCCUCGAAGCUCUCCAUGGGACCAAAUGGGGAGCAGCGUACUCCACCGCGAUUCAGGAGCUCCACAUCACUGGGAGACCAUGUUGGGGGGUGUGGGAUCUUGUAUGUAGAGACACAUCCUCGCGCUUGGUGACACCUCCGGGCACAAAUGAUUUAUUUGUGGGCACAAAUCACUGUAACACAAAUCAAUCAAUAAGAUUUAACAAAGAAAAAAAAAACAAAGAAGAAUAGUCAAGAUCCACAUUAAGAAACAGUUGUAUUGUCUCCAGAUUAACAAAGAAAAGAGACUGUCCAUGGUCAUCUUGUGUUCACUGUCAAUGCAUUGGAGCGCAAGCCUCAAAACCAUAGGCGAGACUGGGAGAGAUUGGCGAUGGCAUCCACCUUCCAGUGUCCAUAUAACGCCAACUUACGAAGGUUGUCACAUCGCGUGUCCACAACGCAAGAGUUACACUGUUCAAAACCUCUAGGCUCGGGCACGAAGCUAGCAGCAUCUGGAGCAGCGCAUGGGGGACGUAAGAGUAGAGCUCACAUCUUUUUACACGAAUCAUCUUGAAAAGAGAUCUAAGGCAAGAAAGAAUCAUGGCUGUCCACUCUUGAUGGGAAAGAUCAACGCAAAACACUCAAAUGAAACGCAGACCACUACAACCCUGUCUUGGAUUCGAUCGAAAACCCAUCGAGCCUCCAUUUCUGCAUUUCCCAUACAUGUUGAUCAAGCUACUGGCCACACGAGGAUUGGAUUGGAGCCAUAUCCUGUGUGGAUGUGGAUCCUCCUCCCUCUCUCCAAAUUCCUGGCGCCGGUGCAGGAUUUCAUGCUGUCCUUGACUCUAACCAUAAACUUUUCUCUCUAUUUCAAAGAGGUAGGAGCGAGAGGACUCCAGUCUCCUCUCUAUGUGGCGGUAGCUCCAGUGGAACCUGUGCAGAAAACUCACAAGGACGAGCAUCAACAUCGUGACUCGCAAAACCACAAGAGGUACCAAUUCAUCUUUCGUGAAACUUAGUAGUCAUGCAGUUGAUUUUCAAUAAGAACUUGACAAAGAUCAGGCAUUGCUACUUCUCACGCGUGAAAAAAUGCGACCAGGAAAAAAGAAGAGCAAGUCGAACAGCACUCGGUAGCAUUCAUAGCUUGGCUUCAGUGCCAGGAGUUCCCAGUCCGCCACAACUUGGCUGCUGUGAAUCACGAUGUCUUCCACUUGAUGAACUCCAAGUAAAUCCUUGAGAACCAUCACGGUGGGCGGUGUGGGAUCUUGCACGUGAAGAUGAACAGCCACAUCCUUACGCUUGGUGACACCUCCAAGCUCCCUCAGUUAACAGCGAACACAAGAUGACCAUGGACAGUCUCUUCUCUUUGUUUGGCUUUGGAGACGAUACAUACUGACUGCUGUUCUCUUCAGGUUCGUUUUUUUUUAUUUGUCUUGUGUUUCUUGCUGAUCGAUCUGUGUUGCAGUCAUUUGUGCCUGGAGGUGUCACCAAGUGCAAGGAUGUGACUGUUCAUCUUCACGUGUUGGUGGCGCUAAAGCCAGGUUACAAAUGCUUCUGGGUGCUGUUUGACUUACUCUUUGGUCGCAUUUCUUUCGCACGUGAGAAACUGCAUCACUGGCUCUAUUAGUAGCGAUGCGUGAUCUUUGUCAAGUUUAUAUUGAACAUCAACGUCAUGACUAGCCUGGUAUAUUUGUAACACCUCGAGCCGCCGUUGAUGCUGUAGGUGACGACGCGCUCAUGUCGCCAUGAAGCGCCAGGCCUGCUCGAGAUCCCCCGCUUUGCACAAGCUAUCGAUCAGAGCUGGUUGUAAGUCGCCACGUCGGGGGAUGGAGCGAUCCCAACAUGGGCAAUGUGAGCUACGCGGAUUGGGCGCGAUCAAGCAUCGCUUCCACGUCAGGGAUUCUUCUCUUCCAUCGCUCUUCCUCUCCUCCUCGCCAUUCGUCCUCCUUGCGGCGCUCUGCAGCCUGCUUGUCGAAGUCUUUCCAUCGCUGCUUGCGAUGGAAAUGCGAGCAGUGUGUGAGAUUGGAUGAAUUGGAACAAGGGAUUUUUGAAAUAUCACUUGGAUGACAGAAUCCCCAGCGUUGGAAUUUUUAGGAAGCAACGAGCGUUUGGAUUUGGAGCAUCGCUCCACUUUGUGGAGGCAUCGGCAAUGCCGCAAGAGAAUUUGCAAAGCUAUAAGAGGUAAGACGUUAGCUUGCUGUCGUUUGCUUCCCCCAGGAUCAGACCGAUUAGAAGAACGAGAUGGGAAGAGGGGAUUAGAGGAACGAGAAGAACAGGGACUGGGCCUGGAGCAACGGGUAGAACACGUUGAAGGCCUGUUGCAACUAGAAGAAGAACAGGUUGAAGGCCUCGAGGGCGAUCAAGGGCUGGAAGCAAAAGGACUGGAAGCUGAGAAAAGCAACGAGAAGAAGAACAGGUUCAAGACCUCGAGGGCAAUCAAGGGCUGGAAGCUGAUGGAGCAGAGGUUCAUGGCAUAGGAGGGUGUGUUGACAUUGUCAAAAGAUACGAGUGGAGUGUCAAUAGAUGAAGCAAUACACUGGAAGUUAGCAAUUGUUGAUCUGCUUGGGUCUCCAGGAAUCACGCAACAAUCAGGAAUAACUUGUAUAUAGAGUGUGAAAGACUCAUGAAUAUAUACUCGUUUUUUCUCUUCAUGGUAUUAGGUUUGUGGCUCAUUACUUUUCCUUUCUUUGUUCCUGUUUCUUGCUCUUGAUUGUUGAUGGAGCGAUUGGCUGCUACCAUUUGAUGGCUCAAGGUGUUUUUGCUAUUGGAUAGGGUGCUUAUUCUUCAGCCAUUGAGUCCACUUGUAAUAGCAAUAUUGCUACUACGAUUAAUCAGGAGUAAACUGCUCGAGCCAUCAUCAAAUUGAAGCUAGUAGAACAUCUAGCAUUUGCAACAAGAGUCUAGUCUGCUGCAGAAUUCUGGGAGCCUCCUUGUGUGCUGAGGCCAAGUAGCUGGUGUUGUCAACUCUUCUCCUGCCAAUAAGGAUUGUGGAGGUGUACAAAAUAGACUGGACAUUAUUUCAUCUGCCUCAUCCAUUUCAUGAGCAUGAGAAUCUCUAUUCUAUUCCAUUUCUGUCUUGCGUCCCUUUGCUUCCCAAAAAUGGCCCCUCUUUGCAAUAUAGACAUGGUCAAUCCUCUCCAGGAUUGCUUUUGCAUUCCUCCAUAAAGACAAACAGUCUGAGCAUAACAUGGUACCUCUACAUGGUACGCAGAUGAUAUGAGUUCGCACUCUCGUUGCUGAAUUGGAGCCAUGAUACCCACAGAACCUUCAUGUCCACCUCGCAAUUUACAUCGUUCUCACAAUGGUCCCAAACUUGCAAAUUCAUUCAGCUUCUGUGUCCUUAGCAUUUCGAUGUGGUGCCUUCCUUUUAAUCCCAUUCAAUGCUGUGAAUGGCCUUCCUUCAGACAGCAUUAACCUGUUGUCAAAUGCCUUCAUCCUUCUCUUCUUCAUCAUUUUCAUCUUCUUCUAGCAAGAUAUCUUCCAUUGGAGUCCUUGACACGGUUGGUUGUCACUCACUCACAUGCAUACGCAGCAAUGGCACACUGCUGUAAUAAUCCACUGUCAUCCCUACUUUGGAAUUGGAAUGCUUCCCAUCCCCCUGUCCCAUGCAAAGGAGCUUCCUCCGAACCAUCUGGAUGCUGAGGAUGAUGGAUGCCCUUGACCUAACUCACCUGACUGACUCACUUGGGCUGCAAGAAAGGCAUUGACACAGUUGAUCACUUAUGGCACUGUAACCUCAUAGCAUUGCUGCUGGUUCGAGAGGAGAGGAGCCAAAGGGACACAAUCGAGGACAACAAAAAUAAGUGGAUUUGAACUCAAGUUCUUUUGGGAUUUGGAGGUGACAUCCAAACUCAAUUCAUGUGGAGGUGACUUCCACUUGCAGAGUCAUGGAGAAUAAUGCGAAAAAUAUUCUCAAGAUUCUCUUAAAAAGGAAUUUAUAUAAAUAUAUUCCAUGUUUUUGUGAGUUCUUACAUUUCAUCAUGUACCUGUAUUCACGUGUUCUCAGGGCAUUUCAUCACCUGCCAAUCGCUGAUUACAAACAUUAUACGAAUCAAAAUCAAGAAUUGAAAAUUAUUUCAUGAUAGAAUUUUAUUUUGAAUUUUAUUUUUUCCCAAGCCUACAAGCACAAAUUUCUUGCCAUGUGUAACUUUAUUAAUGUUUUUGCACUUUUCUUAUCCCCAUAAUCUUAAAAGUGUGCCAAUUUGCUAUAAAAGCAAUUAAAGCAAUCAAAAUGUGAUUGUCACAUGGGGUCUUGCCACGUCCGCAUUGCCACAUACUACUGCUCAGUGCAUAUGAAACCUGGUUGUGUCUGGUUUGCAUUAUCCUGUGAGUUGUCAAGAAAGCUCAGAUACUUCCCAAGGAGGCUCCCCUUCACCUCGUCAAUCUGCUUAGACACUUCAUGCUUGACUUGCUAGUUUUGCAGAAAGUUGUUAAAUCCCAUCGCUUCUCCUUUUGACUAGGGGGUAAGAACAAAUCCAAUCGACCUUGUCCUUCUCACUAGCACAUACUGAUCAAGAGCAAAAAACUAGUUGGCUUGGGAUUUUGAUGAAGCACGAGAAACAAGAAUGGCGAUUUUGCUUCAGGAAUCGAUUGGUUAACUUCGCUUCAUUUUCAGAUUCUGGACGUUUAGGAAUGAUCCAUGGUUUAGAAUUCACUGGGAUGCCCUAAUCUAUACAGAGCUGGCUUGUAGACUUCUUGAAAGCUCUUGUGCUGAAGGGCUCUCCAAGCAAGGUCUUUUAGGAUUUGAAUCCUAAACCAAACCCUAAAUGUGGCAAAUAAUGAAAUAUAUGUGUUAUUUGUAAAUUAGGCACCACCCACCCCUUUGGAGGUGUACCUCCCCCUCGAAUUGACAAUCAUAAAUUAAUUGUAUACGACGCUGAUUCGCAAGAAAAAUCAAGUAUCUUUACAUUGCUCUGGUCUAUGGCUCAAAUCGAUUAGUUUCUUUCUUCAUCUUCCAGUGCUGGAUGGAAACAGAGGUCUUUCUGGAGUGGGCAUGAAGGAGCGGCCGCCACUGCUGCUGCCCUCCUCUGAAUAGGCCUCGAGAUCCACCCCCGCCCCGCCCAGCUUCGCCGCUCUCCUUCUCGCCAGCGACGCCUCCUGCCGCUGCGCGACGUACUUGCGCGUCCGGCACACAUAGACCGCAAGAACCACUAAGGCAAUCGCGAGGAACAGUCCGACCACGAUCCCAGCGAUCGCCUCGUGCGAGAGCGUGAUCGUUUCCUUGCUGGAUUUGGAUUUCUCCAGUAGCCACCGUCGUCCAAUCGACCCAAUCGCUGGCUGGAUCAUCCGCUGGAUCGAUCCAGGAGCUUCAUACCCGUAUUGGGUGACCUCAUAGGAUGAAUCUACACCGCUGCUACAACCGCCGCCUGGGAUCCAGAUCGCAAGCAGCAGGAAUAGAGAAAGAAGAAGAAGCAAGCCGCUCCUCUGAGUUGGCGCUACCUCUCCGCCAAAUAGCACCAUUUUCGUGAUCCUGCGUGUAUAGGGAUGUGUUCCUUGCCUAUUUCUCGAGCUCUCAAGUAGAAUGGAAGUUUGGGCGAUUUUAUCAUUUAUAUAGGAAAAAGACCCUCUUGACCUACAAUACAUAACGCGACUAGUUCAAAGUCUUCUUGUGAAUAGCGCGUCA